UCACAUUCCGAGGCAUCUCCGGCGAUCGGCGAAGACGAGAGAGAUGGCCAAGAAAGCGUUCCAGGUCGGCCUGGCGUUGGCCGUCAUGACCAUCGUGCUCUCGGGCCUCGCUUCGGCGCAGUCCGGCUGCACCACCACGAUCAUCAGCCUCGCGCCGUGCCUGAACUACAUUACCGGCAACUCGUCCACUCCCUCCUCCUCGUGCUGCUCCCAGCUGGCCAGCGUCGUCCAGUCCCAGCCGGCGUGCCUCUGCUCGGUGCUCAACGGCGGCGCCUCCUCGUUCGGGAUCACCAUAAACCAGACCCGAGCCUUGGCCAUGCCCGCCGCCUGCAAUGUCCAGACGCCGCCGGUCAGCGAGUGCAACUGUAUGCGCCACUCUGAUCCCAUCCCAUUCCAUUCACGUAGUGAGUCUCGAGCCUUGUCACAUGAACUGAUGAUUUAUUGAUGGUUGUGGCAGCUGUGGCCGGUGGACCGGAAAAAUCCCCGACAGCUUCACCGGCGACUCCAGCAACACCGGUCCCGUCCACACCAUCAUCUCCGAAAUCAGGUACAACAAUACUGACUUCCUUAAGAGUCAAAUCGAUCCAGAGCAAUUGAAAUAGAGACGAUUAGUUGCAGAAGACAAUUAGAAUAUUUAUGGUUGCUUGUUCUUAACGGUGCAGAAGGUGGAUCGAAGGCAACCCCGGCGACUACCUCAGAUGGCAGUUCUUACAAAUCAUCUCGUUCUCUGAUGCUUUCAAUCCUCUUCCUCGCCGGUUGCGUCUCCUUCACCGGCCUCUGAGUCCACCGCAACAAGAACUGGAUCAUCACUUCACUUCACUGCCGUUCAUUUAUUUAUGAGCAUCUGUCUGUGUCAACUCGAAUUCGUUAUCUUCUCAUGUUUGCACUGUAUUGAAGUGAUUUGGAGUUUGUUGUACUUAUUCUUAGUUGAGCUGAUUAAAAGAUUAUUGGUUUACUUAUAAUAUUAAUUGAUAUCGAGUACUGUAACCUAAUAAUUUUUUUAUAAUAAAUUUAAUCGAGGUAGAAUAUUCUACGAUAUAAAUGAAAUACAAGAAAAAUAUUAUUUUGAUUUUUUUAAUUUUAAAUUGAUAUCGACAUGAUCGAAACAUGAAUUACGAUACUACACGUCGAGUCAUGGAAAUGAAUAUUUUUUCUAUUAAUAUCCGUACAUUCAUAAUCAAAAUUUAGUAUUCUACAAUAAUAAAAGAAUAAUUAAGAUAAGUUACAUUAAUAUUUUAUCUUUGAGUUAAAUCUGAGCUGGAUUAUGGCACCAAAGUUACCUACUUCCAUCUAAUGCCUUUACUGAUUAUAUCAAACAUCAUAACGACCCAAGUAUAUAAAUAAUACUUAAUACAUAGCAUCCUCCAUUUCAUAGAAUAAGCCAAUCACCAGUCUUUUCUUAGUAGGAAGGUUUGAUUACCAACAUAGGCCCCACUCUGGGUCUCCCUAUCACCGCCGUCACCACCACCACCACCGACUAUUGAAGUCCCUCACGCCUCCCUCGCAAAGCCCAAGCCCAAGCUGCACUUCAGAACCACCUCCCGUUCCAAGGCAUCUCCGGCUAACAGCCACGAGGUGCGAGAUGGCCCAGAAAGCGUUCGAGGCGGGCGUCGCGUUGACCGUCAUGGCCAUCAUGCUCUCGACCCUCGCUUCGGCGCAGUCCGGCUGCACCACCGCCAUCAUCAGCCUCGCGCCGUGCCUGAGCUACAUCACCGGCAACACCUCCACGCUCUCAUCCUCGUGCUGCUCACAGCUGGACAGGGUCGUCCGGUCCCAACCGGCGUGCCUCUGCUCGGUGCACAACGUCUGGGCCUCCUCGUUGGGGGUCACCAUAAACCAGACCCGAUCCUUGGCCAUGCCGGCGGCUUGCAACGUCCGGACCCCACCGAUUAGCGAGUGCAACUGUAAGCACUCUGAUCCCUUCUCCUUCAAGUAGCAAGUCUCGAUUCACGUUUCACGGACUGAUGAGUGAUUGAUGAUUGCUGCAGCUGUGGCCGGUGGGCCAGCAAAAUCCCCGACGGCUUCACCGACGAGUCUAGCGACACCGGCCAAUCUCGCAAGAGGGACCCCAUCCACACCAUCAUCGCUUAGGGCAGGUCCAAUCACGCACAACUCCUGAGAAGAUUAGUCGCAGCAAACAACCAAAAUAUGCAUCAUUGACUUCAUCUUGUCUCUUAAUGGUGCAUGCAGAAGAUGGAUCGAUGGCAACCCGGGCCACGACCUCAGAUGGCACUUCCUACAAAUCACCUCCCUCUCUGAUGCUUUCAAUUCUCUGCCUCGCCGCCUGCGUCUCCUUCGCCAACCUCUGACUCGACUGGGAGAACUCGAUGAUGACUUCCUGCUGCCGUCGAUCAUUUGUUCGCAUGCAUCUGUUUGUGUCAACUCGGAUUCUUUCUUUUCAGCUUCCUCGUUGCUGCUCUGCAUUGAAUGAUUUGGAAUUUGAUGUACUUAAUUAUCCUCUGAGACGAUUAAAAGAUUGAUUGAUUUGCUCAUAGCUUCCUUGAAUCAUUAGAAGUCAAUUCCAAUUAAUGAAUGGCAGGACCCUUUCUUUCGACCAUAAGUAUUAUUUGAAUGAUAUCAUCCAAGUUUUUCUAAGAUUUUUUUUAUUUAAUCAUCCAAUCCAACUUGAAGGAUAUAAGCAUGAAUAAUAUUCAAAACAUAUUAUCUUUCAUAAAUUGUAGAGCUAUAAUUACAUAUUAUCUUGUAAUUUCGAACACUGAAAUGGUAAAAUAUAUCGUAUCUCAUGAAUAAAAAAUAAUAUAAUAUAUUUAUUUUAUAAUAUUUUAAUAUUAAAAACUAUACAUUCAAUUAGAUAAAUAUUUAAUAUAAUAAAAUUAAAUUAACAUGACCUCACACGAUCUUAGAUCCAACGAAAUCAGGAUCCGAUAUAUGACCCGAUUAAAAUCACGUAUAAUAGCCUAAUAACUUAAUAGUUGUUGGGUAGAUGUAAUCAUUAUUUGCUACACCAAUUUCGUUAUCGCUGUCUCCCUUUUCUUUCAAUGAUAUGGCGAGCUCAUAAGCUAAAUAAAGUCUACAAGCAAAUAGUAUAGAUAUGUCCAUCAUAAUCAACGCCUAACACCCGAGACUGCAACUUAACAACAUCUCGAUGCAGAAUCUAAGAAGAGCAAGUUGGAUUUAUGCUACUUAGAUUACCUACCUUCAUCUAAUGCCCUAACUAACUUGAUCAAACACGUAACGACCCAACUAUAAUGAUACUUCAACAUGGCGUCUUUUAUUGCAUAGAUUAAGCCAAUUAGGUUCCAAUCGACACCGGUCUUUUUCUUAGUAGGAAGGUUUGGCCAACGACACGAACCCAAAUCACCUAUUUGAAGCCCUUCACACCGUCCUCUCAUUCCACAAGCUCAACCUGCACUCAGCAACCUCCUCACAUUCCGAGGCAUCUCCGGCGAUCGGCGAAGACGAGCGAGAUGGCCAAGAAAGCGUCCGAGGUCUGCCUGGCUUUGGCCGUCAUGACCAUCAUGCUUCCCGGCCUCGCUUGGGCGCAGUCCGGCUGCACCACCGCCAUCAUCAGCCUCGCGCCGUGCCUGAGCUACAUCACCGGCAACUCCUCCACGCCCUCCUCCUCGUGCUGCUCCCAGCUGGCCAGCGUCGUCAAGUCCCAACCGGCGUGCCUCUGCUCGGUGCUCAACGGUGGCGCCUCCUCGUUCGGGAUCACCGUAAA
rnacentral:lncRNA from 1 species